GACGAACGCUGGCGGCGUGCUUAACACAUGCAAGUCGAACGGAAAGGCCUCUUUCGGGGGGUACUCGAGUGGCGAACGGGUGAGUAACACGUGAGUAACCUGCCCUUGACUUUGGGAUAACUUCAGGAAACUGGGGCUAAUACCGGAUAGGAGCUCCUGCUGCAUGGUGGGGGUUGGAAAGUUUCGGCGGUUGGGGAUGGACUCGCGGCUUAUCAGCUUGUUGGUGGGGUAGUGGCUUACCAAGGCUUUGACGGGUAGCCGGCCUGAGAGGGUGACCGGCCACAUUGGGACUGAGAUACGGCCCAGACUCCUACGGGAGGCAGCAGUGGGGAAUAUUGCACAAUGGGUGGAAGCCUGAUGCAGCAACGCCGUGUGCGGGAUGACGGCCUUCGGGUUGUAAACCGCUUUCGCUCAUGACGAAGCUUUGUGUGACGGUAGUGGGUAAAGAAGCACCGGCUAACUACGU
rnacentral:rRNA from 1 species